rnacentral:rRNA from 1 species
UACGAAGGGGGCGAGCGUUGUUCGGAAUUACUGGGCGUAAAGCGCACGUAGGCGGCUUUCUAAGUCAGGGGUGAAAUCCUGGAGCUCAACUCCAGAACUGCCUUUGAUACUGGAGAGCUUGAGUCCGGAAGAGGUGAGUGGAACUCCGAGUGUAGAGGUGAAAUUCGUAGAUAUUCGGAAGAACACCAGUGGCGAAGGCGGCUCACUGGUCCGGUACUGACGCUGAGGUGCGAAAGCGUGAGGAGCAAACAGG